rnacentral:rRNA from 1 species
GAGUUUGAUCAUGGCUCAGAUUGAACGCUGGCGGCAGGCCUAAGACAUGCAAGUCGAGCGAGAAAGCCCUUCGGGGUGAGUACAGCGGCGGACGGGUGAGUAACGCGUAGGAAUCUACCCAGUAGUGGGGGACAACUAGUGGAAACGCUAGCUAAUACCGCAUACGCCCUAAGGGGGAAAGCGGGGGAUCUUCGGACCUCGUGCUAUUGGAUGAGCCUGCGUAAGAUUAGCUUGUUGGUGGGGUAAUGGCUCACCAAGGCUACGAUCUUUAGCUGGUCUGAGAGGAUGAUCAGCCACACCGGGACUGAGACACGGCCCGGACUCCUACGGGAGGCAGCAGUCGGGAAUAUUGCGCAAUGGGGGAAACCCUGACGCAGCCAUGCCGCGUGUGUGAAGAAGGCCUUAGGGUUGUAAAGCACUUUCAAUUGGGAGGAAAAGCUAAUGGUUAAUAGCCAUUAGCCCUGACGUUACCUUUAGAGGAAGCACCGGCUAACUCCGUGCCAGCAGCCGCGGUAAUACGGAGGGUGCAAGCGUUAAUCGGAAUUACUGGGCGUAAAGCGCGCGUAGGCGGCUCUUUAAGUCGGAUGUGAAAGCCCCGGGCUCAACCUGGGAACUGCAUCCGAUACUGGAGGGCUAGAGUGUAGGAGAGGGAGGUAGAAUUCCAUGUGUAGCAGUGAAAUGCGUAGAUAUAUGGAGGAAUACCAGUGGCGAAGGCGGCCUCCUGGCUUAACACUGACGCUGAGGUGCGAAAGCGUGGGGAGCAAACGGGAUUAGAUACCCCGGUAGUCCACGCCGUAAACGAUGUCUACUAGCUGUAGGGGUACUUGAGACCUUUUGUAGCGCAGCUAACGCACUAAGUAGACCGCCUGGGGAGUACGGCCGCAAGGUUAAAACUCAAAUGAAUUGACGGGGGCCCGCACAAGCAGUGGAGCAUGUGGUUUAAUUCGAUGCAACGCGAAGAACCUUACCAGGCCUUGACAUCCCCGGAACUUUUUAGAGAUAGAUUGGUGCCUUCGGGAACCGGGUGACAGGUGCUGCAUGGCUGUCGUCAGCUCGUGUCGUGAGAUGUUGGGUUAAGUCCCGUAACGAGCGCAACCCUUGUCCUUAGUUGCCAGCACGUAAUGGUGGGAACUCUAAGGAGACUGCCGGUGACAAACCGGAGGAAGGUGGGGACGACGUCAAGUCAUCAUGGCCCUUACGGCCUGGGCUACACACGUGCUACAAUGGCUAGGACAGACGGCUGCAAACCAGCGAUGGGGAGCUAAUCCGACAAACCUAGUCGUAGUCCGGAUUGGAGUUUGCAACUCGACUCCAUGAAGUCGGAAUUGCUAGUAAUCGCGAAUCAGAAUGUCGCGGUGAAUACGUUCCCGGGCCUUGUACACACCGCCCGUCACACCAUGGGAGUGGGUUGCUCCAGAAGUGGUUAGUCUAACCUUCGGGAGGACGAUCACCACGGAGUGAUUCAUGACUGGGGUGAAGUCGUAACAAGGUAACC